rnacentral:rRNA from 1 species
GACGAACGCUGGCGGCGUGCUUAACACAUGCAAGUCGAACGGAAAGGCCCUGCUUUUGUGGGGUGCUCGAGUGGCGAGCGGGUGAGUAACACGUGAGUAACCUGCCCUUGACUUUGGGAUAACUUCAGGAAACUGGGGCUAAUACCGGAUAGGAGCUCCUGCUGCAUGGUGGGGGUUGGAAAGUUUCGGCGGUUGGGGAUGGACUCGCGGCUUAUCAGCUUGUUGGUGGGGUAGUGGCUUACCAAGGCUUUGACGGGUAGCCGGCCUGAGAGGGUGACCGGCCACAUUGGGACUAGGAUACGGCCCAGACUCCUACGGGAGGCAGCAGUGGGGAAUAUUGCACAAUGGGCGGAAGCCUGAUGCAGCAACGCCGCGUGCGGGAUGACGGCCUUCGGGUUGUAAACCGCUUUCGCCUGUGACGAAGCGUGAGUGACGGUAAUGGGUAAAGAAGCACCGGCUAACUACGU